rnacentral:tRNA from 1 species
GGAUAGAAGUAAUCCAUUGGCCUUAGGAGCCAAAAAAUUGGUGCAACUCCAAAUAAAAGUA